rnacentral:rRNA from 1 species
ACGCACGCUGGCGGCGUGCCUCAUACAUGCAAGUUGAGCGAUGAAGAUUGGUGCUUGCACCAAUUUGAAGAGCAGCGAACGGGUGAGUAACGCGUGGGGAAUCUGCCUUUGAGCGGGGGACAACAUUUGGAAACGAAUGCUAAUACCGCAUAACAACUUUAAACAUAAGUUUUAAGUUUGAAAGAUGCAAUUGCAUCACUCAAAGAUGAUCCCGCGUUGUAUUAGCUAGUUGGUGAGGUAAAGGCUCACCAAGGCGAUGAUACAUAGCCGACCUGAGAGGGUGAUCGGCCACAUUGGGACUGAGACACGGCCCAAACUCCUACGGGAGGCAGCAGUAGGGAAUCUUCGGCAAUGGACGAAAGUCUGACCGAGCAACGCCGCGUGAGUGAAGAAGGUUUUCGGAUCGUAAAACUCUGUUGGUAGAGAAGAACGUUGGUGAGAGUGGAAAGCUCAUCAAGUGACGGUAACUACCCAGAAAGGGACGGCUAACUACGUG